rnacentral:rRNA from 2 species
CGCGGCGCAGGCGUCGGUCGUGCAUCUCUCGUGGGAGCGCGCCGGCGUCUUGGGCGUCGUGCGGCGGCCGUACUUUCGGCGGGCGGAGCGCCACGACCGGUUCGCCGGCGGCGAGAAACUCCCGGGCAAGGUGACCCUCGCUUCGGCGUCGGAGCAUACAGGCUCGGUGAGCGCAGGCCCGUCGGCGGACCGAGGAAGACCGUCGCGGUGCGGCGUCGACCGCCCGUCCUCGGCGCGCGUUCGACUGGGGGGGACUGGUUCCAGUGCCCUCCGACCGCGUGCGUCUAGCGGCGGGACGGCCCGGCGUCGCGCCUGGGGUCGGUGGCGAAACGGCCGGCAACCUGUCCGACCCGUCUUGAAACACGGACCAAGGAGUCUAACAUGUGCGCGAGUCGUUGGGCGCUACGAAACCCGAAGGCGAAAUGAAAGUGAAGGCCCGGUCUCCGGCCGGCCUAGGUGGGAUCCGGACGGUCGAGGCCGUCCGGCGCACCACCGGCCCGUCUCGUUCGCCGCGUCGAAGAGGCGGAGCAAGAGCGUACACGUUGGGACCCGAAAGAUGGUGAACUAUGCCUGAGUAGGACGAAGCCAGAGGAAACUCU